rnacentral:rRNA from 1 species
AUUGAACGCUGGCGGAAUGCUUUACACAUGCAAGUCGAACGGCAGCACGGACUUCGGUCUGGUGGCGAGUGGCGAACGGGUGAGUAAUGUAUCGGAACGUGCCCAGUCGUGGGGGAUAACGUAGCGAAAAUUACGCUAAUACCGCAUACGAUCUAUGGAUGAAAGCGGGGGAUCGCAAGACCUCGCGCGAUUGGAGCGGCCGAUAGCAGAUUAGGUAGUUGGUGGGGUAAAGGCCCACCAAGCCAACGAUCUGUAGCUGGUCUGAGAGGACGAACAGCCACACUGGAACUGAGACACGGUCCAGACUCCUACGGGAGGCAGCAGUGGGGAAUUUUGGACAAUGGGCGAAAGCCUGAUCCAGCCAUUCCGCGUGCAGGAUGAAGGCCCUCGGGUUGUAAACUGCUUUUGUACAGAACGAAAAGGUUUCUACUAAUACUAGGAGCUCAUGACGGUACUGUAAGAAUAAGCACCGGCUAACUACGUGCCAGCCGCCGCAGUAA